AAAUGCAUUGAGGUGCAGUAUUUGACUGGACAUCUAGGGGUAAAACACUAUUUGGUGCGGUCCUCAAGAGCGGUACAAAAUCAAGGCAAACUCUGAAUAUUAGGUAUGGCCUUAAAAAAAGGGUCAAAUUCGGUUAGUGAGACGAUAGGGGAUAAGCUUCAUCGUCGAGAGGGAAAUAACCCGGAUUACCAGCUAAGGCCCCUAAAUGACCACUCUAUAGUCCUAAUAGACACAUCUUUAAAAUGGUAUCUUGUGUGUCUCUUAUCAUCUCGCAACUUGGCAUUUGCGAUAUUAUUGGCA
rnacentral:ncRNA from 1 species